CUCUCUCCCUCUCCUCGUACUCUCUCUAUAUUCUUCCUCCAAUUCGCUAACUUGAAAUAAGCCUACAAAUCGCGACCCCACGAAAAUUGAACUCCGACAACUCUUAUCGGAGGCACACAAAAUCAGAUCAAUUUCUUUGUAUUCUCCAAUCGCCUCUCGCUUCUUUGGGGUUUGUUUAUGUCAUUGAAUGUCGACAUUGACUUUACAAACCUGAAUAGACUUAACCAGAAUCAACUUCAAAAUCGUCAAAGAUGAAAAGGACACUACAAAGAGUUGGACAUUUCCUCGGAGAAACAAAAAGUUGGCCCCAGAGGAAGCUCUUGCUUCUUAAUCCAGGUGGUGGACUGAUUCUUAAGGUGUGCCAUCAAGACGUGGCCACUGUUCUGAGCUACAUCGCCGACUUGAUUCACGGAAGCUUUACAAGUCUUUCUGUGCGUGGUCUUUUAAACUGAAGAAAAAGAAUAGUGUUUUCGAUGUUUGUUCCCCCAAGUAUUUAGUAUUUAUUUCUAUUAGAUAGACUUUGCUGGACUUCUUGGUUUGUUUUGUAAUCUUGAAAAGUGAAAUUCACACAAAAGAAAAUGUACUGCGAAGUUAUAAAGAAUGUGUCAUGCUUGUGGUUUAAGGAGAAAAAUCGAGUAACAUUUUGGUGUACUGAAAAAUUUAAAUAUAGAGGAGCAAGAGAAAAAUCAAAUGCGGGGUAAUGGUUAAUCUACUAUCCUGCCAGUUUGCUGCUU